CAAUAGCGUAUAUUAAAGUUGUUGCAGUUAAAAAGCUCGUAGUUGGAUUUCUGGUAGGAGUGACCGUUCCGAACUUGAUUGUUCGUGUAUUGUGUUUUCUCCAGCCAUCCUUGUGGAGAACUUUUCUUGCAUUAAUUUGUAGGGAUUGAGACCCGCAUCGUUUACUGUGAAAAAAUUAGAGUGUUUAAAGCAGGCAAUCGCUUGAAUACAUUAGCAUGGAAUAAUAAGAUAGGACUUUGGUACUAUUUUGUUGGUUUGCAUACCAAAUUAAUGAUCAACAGGAACAGUUUGAGGAUAUUCGUAUGAACAUGUCAGAGGUGAAAUUCUUGGAUUUUGAUCAGACGAACUACUGCGAAAGCAUUUAUCAAGGAUGUUUUCAUUAA
rnacentral:rRNA from 1 species